rnacentral:rRNA from 2 species
CUUACCAUGCAAGUCGAACGGAAAGGCCCUUUCGGGGGUACUCGAGUGGCGAACGGGUGAGUAACACGUGGGUGAUCUGCCCUGCACUUUGGGAUAAGCCUGGGAAACUGGGUCUAAUACCGAAUAGGACCGCAUGCUUCAUGGUGUGUGGUGGAAAGCUUUUGCGGUGUGGGAUGGGCCCGCGGCCUAUCAGCUUGUUGGUGGGGUAAUGGCCUACCAAGGCGACGACGGGUAGCCGGCCUGAGAGGGUGUCCGGCCACACUGGGACUGAGAUACGGCCCAGACUCCUACGGGAGGCAGCAGUGGGGAAUAUUGCACAAUGGGCGCAAGCCUGAUGCAGCGACGCCGCGUGGGGGAUGACGGCCUUCGGGUUGUAAACCUCUUUCAGUAUCGGCGAAGCUCCGGGAUUUUUCUUGGGGUGACGGUAGGUACAGAAGAAGCACCGGCCAACUACGUGCCAGCCGCC